GGUUAAGCUACUAAGAGCACACGGAGGAUGCCUAGGCGCUAGGAGCCGAUGAAGGACGUGGCGAACAACGAUACUGCCUCGGGGAGCUGUAAGCAAGCUUUGAUCCGGGGAUGUCCGAAUGGGGAAACCCGGCUGAUGUAAUAGUCAGUCACUUCUGUCUGAAUACAUAGGACAGAUUGAGGCAUACCAGGGGAACUGAAACAUCUAAGUACCCUGAGGAAGAGAAAACAAGAGUGAUUCCGUCAGUAGCGGCGAGCGAACGCGGAACAGCCUAAACCGGUCAGCUUGCUGGCCGGGGUUGUGGGACGUCUCACAUGGAGUUACAAAGGAAUUGGUUAGGCGAAGAGGUCUGGAAAGGCCCGGCAUAGAAGGUAAAAGCCCUGUAGCCGAAAGUCAGUUCCCUCCGAGACGGAUCCCGAGUAGUGCGGGGCACGUGAAACCCCGUAUGAAUCUGGCAGGACCAUCUGCUAAGGCUAAAUACU
rnacentral:rRNA from 1 species